UCAGCAUUCAUUUUUUUUCUUUUAAUUUUCAAUUAAAAAAUCCUUCUAAAUUCGAUUACAACAGCAAAUUUCAGUAUAUGUAAACCCUGGAGCAUAAGUUGGUAUAUAACUAUAGGUACCUAAUAGGGUAUUUUAUCUGUAUAGUAUACAAUAGGGAAUUGCCCAUUCAUUGUCUUCAUUUUUGCAUUGAAUACAUUGAAACAGACUGAAGAGAAAAUAGGAAUUUUUAGUAGAGUACAGCAUAUGCUGGCCCGAAUAGAACCGUAAUGCAAUAAAGGAAGAAGGAAAGAUGUAAAUAUCUGCAUAUUUUAGUAAAUAAAAGAAAUACAAGCUUUCUUAUGCAGUUCAAUGAUACUUUAAUUCUACUAAAAAAAGGUAAAAAUAUAUCUUUUCUCUGUGAAUCAUUUUUCAAACAGUGGAAUACACAAAAAAGUGAAGUGUUAGAAAAAUCAACUUUCUAUUUAUUAUUUCUGAUUAUUAUGUCUUUAUCUUCACAAACAGAUCAAAUUAUAAGUACAUUUAUUUUUCUCGUAUUCAAUUGGAGAGUAUGUAAUAUCAUAAUAAUGAUAGAAAUUGAAUAACUUUUUUUGUUCUGAUAUUUUAUUAAAAACCCAAGAGUCUAAGUGACAUUUAUUAAGUCGUUUCCAUUUCUAUGUGUCUGAUAAAUUGCAAUUUGAGUGUAAUUUUUAUUUCUCUGCAAUUUGAGUAUAAUUUUUAUUUCUCCGUUCUUACGAAUUUCAUACACUACAUAUAUAUGUAUAGUUGGGUAAAAAACUUUCACGUGUUUCAGUAAAUGGAAUAGAAAUUCCAUUCUUACUUAUGAUUCCAUAAAGAAUAAUGAGACUUUCUCGAUAAAUGGGGGAAAUUAAAAAAAAAAUAACCUUGGGGAUGGAAAUGAGAGAAUGUCUACAAUACCUAGGUUGAGUCAGAUACAAUUUGAAGGAUUUUGUAGGUUGAUUGAUUAGGGCUUAAUGGAAAAUUUUAUAAGUUUCUAAAAAUUGAAGAUAUAUAUAAAAAAAUUGAAUUUCCAUGACAUAUUACCGUAGUCUUAUAUGCACCCAUUCAGUUUUUUAGCAGUUAAAAUUUUUAUUUACUUUCCAGGCUGCAGGUAUUCCAAAGAAGUUGGCACCUACUAUUGGUAUCUCAGUUGAUCAUCGCGUAGACCGUCUCUGGAGGUCUUCAGCCAAUGUUCAGAGGCUGAAAACUACAAGGCCAAAUUGGUUGUCUUCCCAAGACGAGCACUCAAAUUCAAGGUAAUUCAAGUUAUUGAAGUAUGUUUUGUAAGCUUGGUUGUUCAUAUGAAAGCUGAAUAUUGUACUUUGGCUCCUCUCUCUGCUGUAGGCUGGUGAUUCUGCACCUAAGGAACUAGCAACAGCUACUCAAGUUCAGGGACAAUACAUGCCUAUUGUGCGCGAGAAAGCUGGAGUGGAGCUUGUUAAGGUUACAGAGGAGAUGAAGUCUUUCAAGGCAUAUGACAAGCUCCGCAUUGAGCGCGUGAAUCAACGCCAUGUCGGUAUUAGGAUGAAGAGGGCUGCCGAGGCUGAGAAGGAAGAGAAAAAGUAAUUAGUUUGAUUAAAUAUUGGGUACCAUUGAGUUUUGAUGUUAGACAGCAAGUUGUUAGUCAUUCUGUUGAAUUUUUGAAUUGGAAGAUAUAUUGAAUACAUCAUGUGUCGGAUGUUCAAGAAGAACUUGGAUGUUACAUACAAUCGGCUUUUCCCAUAUGUAUUUGCCUGUUUAAGUUUGGACAUUUGGUUCAGCUUCAUUGAAUUGCUUGCGCAUUAUAACUGGCACCAGAUGGCUUCAUAUUGGGAUGUGCAAAGGAUUAAAUGAAAAACCAGGAGUUAGUUUGAUGAUUAAAGUACAUUUUUGGUCGCCUAAAAUGGUGUAUGCAGUUUGUUCUUGUAAUGGAGAGCUCUUGUCAUGUAUUCGGCAGAGAAACCAGGCAAGAUGCCUAUAUAUAUAUAUGGCAAAAGGCAAAAUCUCGUUUCUGAAGAGUUGGGUACGACCAUCCCAAAGAUUCCUUCACCAACAUAUAUGGAUGUAUGCAAUGCAUUAUUGUCAUGAUAAUUCUCCCAGACAAAGAUUAGUUUAGCGGUAAUGAUAUUUUAAGGCAAUAUUUUUACACAGAUUAAGUCUCUUUUUAGGUGAUCUUUGGCGCAUUCUAUUCUCGCCAUUAAAUCUCUCUCCAAAGUUGGUAUAACUUACCAAAUAUUUUUAUGAUAAUCUGGUUUAAUCAGACUUGUUGAAAGGACAAAUUUCAUGACUUACGGUUUUGAAUUGUGUGUUCAUGUUUACCCAGGCAUGUAAAUUUUAAUGGAUGUGUUUUCAACUUCUAUAAAACGGAUCAAAAGACUGUCCUAGAGAUGCUUGGUAAAUGCCUUUGUAUAAUCUUGCUUCUGUGAUAUAUACUUUGGUGCAAUGUGUUUACUUCUGUCGGAUUUCCAUAAAUGUAUCUUUAGAAUCCUCUUGACCUGGGUUUAUAGGCUCAUAAUACAUUACACAUGACUUUAAUCAUCGAUAAAAUCAGUUUUUUGUCUUAUAUUUUUUUGUCUUAUCGUUUUUUUAUCUAUAUAUUAUUUUUAAAAAAAUAAAAAUGUAGAGUCAGCAUUAAUGUAAGAGCAUUAAGAGGACACAACUCAUUUACAAUAUAUUUACAAAUCGAUUAAAUUAUUAACAAUUAAACCAAAAUGAUCAUGAUAGCCAAUGUUAUAUCCCAAAAUAAUCGAAUCAAAAUAGUGAAACCAACAAUAAAUGAUUUUAUUAAAAUCAAAUUCUAUUCCUUAAAAAACGCGAUUGUUUCUCUCUUUUUUAAGGACUCACAUAAUGGUGAGUGAGAUUAAUCUUAACCUUUUUCUCUUGCUGCUGAUGCCUUCCAUACUAGGAGUUCUAUGUGUAUGUUGUUGUUCAUGACCCAAGACAACCCCAUAAGGGUAAGAAUUGUGUUCCAUAGGUGCUGUGAGACCGAACAGCCUAAAAGCAAGUGAUCGUGAAACUUCUUUUCAUUUGGCCUAUAUUUUAUUAUUUUAGACAAAAUGAUAUAAAAAGAAUUAUAGUGCAUGGAUUGAUAUGUCUUGGUAUCCCAUGGACCAGUAUCUCUUGGCUGCUACCGAGGUCCUAAGAAAAACUAAGUUUUAUCUCUUUUAUCGCAUGAGAAGUAUUAAUUCUACUAUUAAACUUAAACUUUAGUUCUUGCAGAAAAUUUCAUGCUUUCUUAUCUUCUUGUGUAAGCCUAUUUCAUACUUCAUCUAAAAAACAAAAAUUUAUUUCAUACUCAAUAUUCAACUAGUAAUAUGUAAUGAGCAUUGAGAAAGUUGUUAGCGUAGACAAAAUGUUCAAUAUACUGAUAUUAGAUGCAAAUUAAUUGUGGAUGUAUCUCAAUACUUUUUAUGCAUUUAUAGGGAUUGUAAACUUGGUACAACACAUUAUUUAUAAUUUGGUAUAUUAUAUGAUGAAUUGUCGCAUGAAGUUUGUUGAAUUUUCCAAAAUUGCCUCAACCUGGAGCCGGUUUGUGUAAAAACAAUUUUCUUCAAAUCGUGCAGGUUCUCGUUGAAACCCACAUCAUCUCGCCCCAUUAAAAGUAAGAAAUUCUCUUCCAUUGCUUUUCCACGGAUUUACUAAACUACAAACAAGGAUUAGAGAAAGAGCUUUUGUUGAGAAGAAAAAAGAAGUCAUCAUCUUGUUGAGAAAAAAGAAAAAACAUUGCAUGGACGAUUUUAGCAGGUUACGGGAUUUUUUACCAUCCCUAGUUGAGAAGACAAGGAACAAUAUGGAGAAAAUAAACAUUUAACUAGCAGUAAUUCUAGUUCAAAAACUAUUAUGUGCUCUGCGAGUAGAGAUUGAUACAUUUUAAAUUACGUUUUCACAAUUUUAUUACAAAAAUUUAAAAUCGAUCCUAUCCUUUUCUACAUAUCCAACCAUUCCCAGUCCAAACAUAUUGCUAACAAGAGGUGGACACAUGACAAGAAUGAUCUUAAUUUUCCUUUUGUUUAGGCUUCCUAUGAAGAAGUGAAAGUUGACAGACAUCACCUUCAACUGAUAUUAAUUUACUGCACAGCAUAUAAGUUUUAUUCAUGAAGAAACAAGCAAGCAUAACAAUUAGUUUCCCAGGGCUUAAAUCUAUCUUUUCUUCUCCACCUACGUUCUGUAACCAAUUAAGUAUCUUCUCUCUGCCCUAGCUUUAACCCAUAUCGGAAUGAAGACUCAGAAUCAUUAACCCACUCAACCCAGUGUUGCUUACUGCUAGAACACACAUAAAAUAAGUGCACAGAAAAGGGACAAUCGAGGAUUACUUGUUAUGUACGUAGAUGCUGCAUCUUACUUGCCAUUGAUCCUCUCUAUGACUGUGAUAAGACCUUGGGUGCCAAGCUUCCCAUCUCCAUUUGCCACCAUUGCAGAGAAGAGCUGCUUGCACAAUGCAGCACCAGGUAACACAACCACCCUCUUAUCCUCAUCCUCCUCUACAACAUCAACACCCAUGCCCAAAUCCUUCACCAUAUAUUCAGUGAACCCACCUGGCCUAAAAUCCUUCCCAAUCACCCUCUCCCCAAACAACUCCAUAGCCAUUGACCCAGCAGCCCCACCUCUCACUGCCUCCAUAAAUUCUCCCACAUCCAACCCUGCUUCUCUGCAAACACAAAACCUUCACUCAACCCAAGCAAAUUCGCCCCCCCAAUAACCUGAUUUGCUAUCUUGCAACUUUGCCCACAACCCGCCUCACCUAUAUACGUAACCUUUCCCAUGAAUUUAAACAACGGCGAUAACCACUCCACCACUUCGCAUUCACCUCCAGCAAAGAUAGCAAGCUUUCCUUCUCUCGCGCCAAUGUCGCCUCCAGAUACCGGCGCGUCCACAGACCAGCAGCCUUUGGCGCGCGCGGCCGUGAAAAUCUCCCGAGCCAGAGAAGGGUGGCUGCUGGUUGUGUCAACGAUGACGGCACCGGAAUUUAGGCCAGAAAGCAAGCCGUUGGGACCCAGGACAAUUUCUCGAACAUCUUGUGGGUUACCCAGCAUGGUGAAAACAACAUCGCACGAACGAGCGAGGUCGUGCGGCGAGGGGACCAGACGGGCUCCCUGGGCUUGAAGAGGGAGGCAUCUAGAGGGAGUACGAGCGUAGAUGGUGAGAGAGUAGCCGGCGGAAAGGAGGUGAGAAGCCAUGGCGGCACCCAUAACUCCGACGCCAAUCCACCCGAUACGGGUACGUGAGGGCGAUAUAGGUUCUGGGUAUGGAGUUUCCAUGUAGGAUGAAGGAGAUGGAGUGACAAGCUAGCAGUAAUGGCAAUGCUAGUAUGCUUCAAAAUGUAGCAGAAACUUUUGUUUUGGUUUUACUGCAAUACUAGUAUAGAUUUUGUUUUCAUUUUAGUAUUUUGUUCAGUGAGAAGUCUGGAAGAAGAGAAUUGAUAAUUUACGGUUUGAUCAUACGGCUCUAUUUUUAUUGAGAUUUAUAAAAAGUAACCCUAAAUAUACUUGUUUAGUUUUAAAUAUUUUUAGAUAUAUUACUAAAUUAAUUUUUAAAAUUUAACACUUGUACGAUUUGAUCUCUAAUUUCAUUAUAGUUUGUUUUUUAAUAUUUUAUAGUUAUUUCAAAUGUUUAAUUUCAAAAUUAUAUUUGCACACUUUAAAAAAUAAUUCAGGAGAAUAAUUUUUACUAAAUAAAUUAAUUAAUAUUUUUAAUUUAUUAAUUUCUUGUUAUCGGUGUAUUAAUUUGAUUAAUUAAUUAAAAUUUUUUGUUGAGUUAUUGUUCAAAAUGUCAAAUAUGGUCUAAUAAGUUUCAGUUUUUUUAAUUAAUAAAUGAAAAAAAAAAAUUAAGUAUUUAAAACCAAUAAGAAAGAAAGCAAAAGAGACAAACAUGAGUAAAAAGUGAAUCAAAAUAAAUAAGUAAAUAAAAUUGGACAACAAAUUCGUAUAGUAAAUGUUGAAUAGCUCAUGUACUAUCAAAUAAAAAUUCAGAAAAUAUGUACUUAUUUCUCUAACCACCAUCUUCUGUUCUAUCAAAUAAUAUAUUCAAUACAAAUAAAAACAGUAACUCGAUCUCACUUUAAAACAUGAUCUCUUAAAUUUUCAUAAAGAAAAUGACAAUAUUUGACACAUUUUUUAUUUUCUUGAUACAAAUUUACAACUAACUAUUAAAGAUAAGUUAAAAUCAAUUCUGAAGUCUCUCGACCAACUUUUAAUCUACUUUCCAAUGAUUUGACCCCGAUGCAAAACAAAAAUACCACAUGGGCGCACUUAAUCAUAUUGUAGAGAAUUAUUUUCAAUUCAAACAUAAAGUAUAUAACUUAAAAGACUUUGGUAUAUUUUAAUUUGUCAACUAAAAAAAUAAUGAGACAAGUAUCACUACCAAUCCAUUACCAAACUAGGGGGAAAAAGAAGUGAAUUAGUUGGCAUGAAUAAACGUAUUAUCCUGAUUGAGCUAAAAAUGAAAGAUUAUUGACAUAUCUUGUUUUUUUCUUGUGUAAUUGUAGUAUUUCAUUAAUAAAUAUUUUUUUUUGCAUCAAAUAGUCUUUUCUAUUUCAAUAAAAAAGAGGAGAAAAAAAAAAGCAAAGACAAAAAAUUUAAAAAUAAAAAAGAAAGAAAAAUGAAUAAAAAUGGAAAAACUAAAGAUAGACUUAAGACCCAUUAAAGGUAGUUUACACCAGGGAGAAUGUAAAAGUCCAGAACUUAAAUAAAAAUAAAUUCAUAAAUUAAAUACAGAAGCGAUUCAUAGAAUCAAAAUUUACAUUCCUUACACAAUAAUUUAAAAUGUCCAAUAGAGUUACAAGAAUGUCUCUUCUAAAAGACAAAAGAAAAUUAAAGAAAUAAAAUGAAAAGUGAAUAACUAAAUAUCUUAUAACAACCUUCACUAACACUUGAAGGGACUCUGGGUCGUUAACUACUCACAACCCUCUUGUUGAUCGAUAUCUAGAUCUUAAUCUUUUUUAUCUAAAAUAAUUAAUGAAAAUGUGAGAUACACUAGUUUAGUAAGAAUAUCACACUAAUCACAUAUACGAAAAAUUAAAGAUUGGUAAAAACAAAAAAAAUAACUAAUGGAGCCCUUGCUUUAUUUAAAUUCAUUUAAACUUGAAAACAUUUGUUUAAUACUUACCAUAACGAGUUUUCCAAAGACAACUUCUAAAGACUCAUAUUCAUAUACUUUUUAUUUUUACAUAAAAGAGAACAAGAGAUUAUAGUUUUCCUUUCUUACCUGGUUAAUAAUACCCUUGGGGGUCCAUAGGAGUGUUUUUCCUACCCGUAAACCCGAUAUCCAAUUUAAUUAAUUAACCGGUCGUUUUCAUACUCCAUCUAGUAAUGGGCGCCAAACAUUCAAUCGUCUCGAUACUCCGUCCGAUAUAAAGGUGAACUAUAUCUCCCAAACCUUUAUGGUAAGGGACUUCCCAGCCCCGUCUAACUGGGGUAACAUUCACUAUAGGGUUCCCUAUGUACCGAGUCCAUCCGUCCUUUCUCGAGUACCUAGUAAGUCUUGCAUAUAUAUAUUUCAAUCAAUAAAACAAUCAAUCACACAAUACCAAUAUCUCAUUGUAUAUUCAUAAAUCAAUAAAACAAUAUUUAAACAAGCGAUUUAACUUAUCAUAACCAACAACCAAGUAAUCAGAUAAGCAGAUAAAUCAUGCAGAAAGGGAUUAAAUAACCCAGAUAAUCGAGAAAACUAUAAAAACUAUCAAUGUAAAUAUACACAAUAUAAUAGUAAACAAUUUAGGCAGUAUAUGAAAAUAAACAGGGAAUCAGGAUAAAUAUGAAUUAACCAGUUCUAGUUCCACUAGUAACCCGUAAUUAUUUUUAGAAUUUUAUAAUUUUCAUAAAAAUACAAAAUUAUAUAUAGUUAAGUUUCAAUUUACCAUAAUGAAAAUAAAAUGAGGAAUUCUUACUCGGAUCGGUAUUCCAAGACGUCGAGCUAUCUACUACGCCUCUUAUUAGGUAUCAAAUUUCGUGAAUUUUUUCUGUUGAAUCUAAACACUCGCCACAUACCUAAAAUACCCCAGAAAUCUAAAAUCGGUGUCCAAAUCUCAUUCCGGCCAAUUUAAAAUUCAAGCAUUGCGACGCCACCAUGCUCCAACACUGGCUCUGCCACCCACGACGGUAGUUCUCCUCGGUUUGACCGGUUUUAGCUGUGUCCCUGCAAAAAAACAUGUUAGCUGCCUCAGUUGGCUGAAAAAUCACAAAAAAUUGAACCUACCAGCAUGAGGAACCCCUGGGUGCGGCGGCUCCGCCGGUUUUCCUUCGCAGUUGAGGUUCUUUCUUCGAGUAAUCUACACAUAAAUGGACAGUAAACACAAUAAUUAAAAAAAUACGUGAAACAGAAAUUGGGAAGGGGCUCAUCAGAGAAAUUUUGGGGUUUUGGACGUGGCGGCUCCGUCAGACUUUACCCACGAUUUUUUCGCUCACCUGCCGUCCUUUUUGCUCCAAUUUGGCUACAUGGGUGCUCGGAAUCGAAUUUCGAGCAGGUAGAGGGAAUUUUUACCUUCUUUAGCAGUUGAUGGUGACUCUGGUGCGGUGACAGUUGGCGGUGACUCUGGUGCGGUGGUAAUCAGCGGUCGGCCUUCUUCUCCAGCGUCUGGUUCUUCUUCUCCGACGGCCUAUUGCUGGCUAAGGUUCCCAUGUGAUGCAAAGUAUUUAUACACAUCCCGCAUUGAUUUGGACCGUCCAUCGCAAUCGAUGUCGUCCAUCUGAUCGCGCCUAAAAAGUAAACGAAUAGUCAUCCAUCGUGAUUUGAUUUCGACGUCCGAUCGCGCUUAAGGGAGGAACAAAUCUAGGCUGUUCACGUGCGCGAGAUCAAUCCUAAGUCAUCCGAUCGCAGGGCACGCAGAUCGCCCGCAUAACCUCCUGUGUGGCACCGAUGUCAGCGUGCCUUACCACGCGACAUGCUCUAGUUCGUCGAGACUGCUGACUAGACGAACCUACGUGACACAAUUUUUUUAUUUGCACUUUGAUCCCUUUAUUUUUAUUUUUUUUAAAAAAAUACCUCCGAACUCAAUUUUUUACUUUUUUUUUUCUAAAAUUAUUUUCGAUUACAUUCAUAACCUAUUUUUCAAUAAAUUCAACAAAAUUAAAUUAAAUUAACUUAUAAAUACAUUUUUAUUUAUUUUUAAAUUAUUAAAAUUGAUUUUGCGUUAAAUUCGGGACUCAGAUAUUAUAGAAAAAAUAUAUAUCAAAAACUCACUUUAGAAUGCUACCCAUUUCCAUAUAAAGUUUAUCAUAAAUGCUCUAGCACCACAAGAAAACAUUCAAUAACAUUACAAUUUUAAAAUUCUAGGCCAACAACAUUUGAAGACCAAAGAACAUUAAAAGCCUAAGCAAGGAAUUUUUUUUUUUUAAAAUGAGAAAAUUAAAUAAGCCUUCAACACAUUUUUUUUUUUUUUUAAAAAGUAACUCAUUAUAUUAAGUUAAAUAAGAAGUUGUGAAAAGAGUCUUCACACAUUAAAAUAAAAAUGGAAAAAAAGAUUAAAAAAUAAAUAAAUAUUUAUAUUUUUACUAUAAAUGGCUUACACUUGUCUCAUAACUAAAUUAAUGUAAGAAUUUGUUUGUCUCGUUAAAAUAUUUUUAAGAUGAAAAAUGGUAGACUUUAGUAAAAUUUACAACUAUAUAAUUUUAAUAUAAAUAUAUUUGUAUAUUUAACUAAUUUUGUUAUAAAAUUAAUAAUAAUAUAAGCUCUAUCUCAAAAGUAUUUAUUUUUAACUUUUGAUUUCAUAUUUUAUAAAAAAAGUAAUUUUCAUUUUUAACUAAAAUAUUUUUAUUUUCAAGCAGUCAACUAUACUUGUGUAUUUUCACAUUACGCCGGUAAAAGCAGAAAUAGUGCUAGCGCUAGCAUGUGUAAUUUAGCUUAUGUCUAUAAACCCUAAUUACCGUUCUGUGCGCGCCGUAUAUAUAUAUAUUUAUAUAUAUAACCCUAAGUGUGCGACUCUCCCUCGAACGCCUCAGGAGCGCUCACAUCAGGUAAUACCUCAGCCUCUCUCUUUCUCCAUUUGUGUAGUGUUAUCCUCCAUUCUUUUACUUAUUCUACAUUUUAAUUUCUAGACGUUUUAUUUUAAUUGCCUUCUUUACAAUCGAUUAAUCAUGCACGAUUCUGCUUUUAUUUCUCGACUUAAGCUUGUCAAUUCUCUUUCUUUGUGUUUUUCUGUCAUAUGCGCUUAUAUGCUGCUUGGUUGAUCGUUAGCUUUUCCUUUUGACAAAUCUGUUUCCAGUAGAGAAUGUGUAGGUGAUGGUAAAGAUGAACAGCAAACGUGUUAAGAGUGAAACAAGUCUAUAUGAACACGCUGCUUUGGUUUAAAAGGUUCUUUCGUUCUUGAUUAAAGUAUAUUGUUUGCUACCGAAUGAUUGUUUAUGGCAAUUUUUUGGUUCUUUCAUUUAUCUGGUUUUUAAAAUUCUGUCUUAUCUCCCGUACCGAGAUUCUCCGAUCUGCUUAUAACUAUUUUGUCAUUUAUUCGUUCUUCUUCUCAUUAAUUCAUUGAUUGAUUUUUAUUUUUUCAACGCAAAGAUUUUCUUGUCUAGAUCUGUAGAUAUAUGCGGGUACGUUUAUUAGCUUUGAUAUCUGUUAAGGUCCAUUGUCUUUUGAAUGUAUAACAUUUUUUUAAUUCAUGUUUUGCUCAUUUUCUUGUUUGUCUUUCGUUUUCCUUUUUUUUUUUGUUUUUGUUUUGGUUUCUUUUGGUUUUUUCCCCUAAAAUUUUAUCAAGAGUUUUUUACUGCAAAUAGUUUUAUGUUAUGUAUUUAUAAUACAAAUCAAAUGCAUGUUAGUUUCCCUUCAAUUCUGUCAUGGAUAUCCUCAUCAAGAAAUAAAAGAAAAACUCUUUUGAAUUACUAUAUGAUUGAAUAAGAAGCAGUCGUUAUCUGUAGUUGGCAAUUUUUUCACUCCUUCCAUUGACUUUUCAGGUAAAUAAAAAUGGUUAAGCACAACAAUGUUAUUCCUAAUGGGCAUUUUAAGAAACAUUGGCAAAACUAUGUGAAAACGUGGUUCAACCAGCCUGCUAGGAAAACCAGGAGAAGAAUUGGUGAGUUGUUUUCUGCUUUUUAGGAGUUCACAUUCUGCUAUGGAUGGUUUGCGUGGCAUUUGCAAAAUUUUCUUUUAUGGCUGUUACUCUGGCUUAUUUUUAAUUUUUAAUUGCUUUACAGCAAGACAAAGGAAGGCUGUGAAAAUUUUCCCUCGCCCAACUGCUGGUCCGUUACGUCCGAUUGUCCAUGGCCAGACUUUGAAGUACAACAUGAAAGUGAGAGCUGGAAGGGGUUUUUCUCUUGAGGAGCUCAAGGUGAGUUGUUCUUUUAGUUUUUUUACUUAGCCUUCCAUAUUUUUUGAAUUCAAGUUCUUUGUUUGUGAGUUUAUCGUGUGUUCUCAUGACAAUGUUUCUUGGUUUUGAUGAGCUAUGAGGUCCUGAGUCUGGAUCGGCUCAAUGAUGCUACCUGAUCUUACACUUACUGCUUUCUGUUUGCUAUGGAUAUUGUAUAACAUGCAUUUUUUCCUUCUAAAAAUGUAUAAUUAUACAUAUUUUUCCUUCAAAAAAUGUAUAAUUAUUCAUAACAUUGUAAGUUUAAGAGUGCUUAAUUUUUUGGAAGGUUACAUUUACUCUUCACAAGGUGAGAAACACGAACAUCCUCUUAGAGUAUCGUUACCUCUUGAUAUUGGUGUACCAUUUAUGGCAUUUAAAUACUAUCAGUCUUGUAUGCAUCCAUUCAGUUUUGUACUUUUUAAGUUUUUUGUUUAAUUUCCUUAUUUCAAAGAAAGUUUUUGUUUACUUUCCAGGCCGCAGGUAUUCCAAAGAAGUUGGCACCUACUAUUGGUAUAUCAGUUGAUCAUCGUCGUAAGAACCGUUCUCUGGAGGGUCUUCAAACCAAUGUUCAGAGGCUGAAAACGUACAAGGCGAAAUUGGU
rnacentral:lncRNA from 1 species